GUACUGCUGAAGAGUCGCAAAAUGGGAGGACGAAACAGCUGUCCAGUAC
rnacentral:hammerhead_ribozyme from 1 species